rnacentral:rRNA from 1 species
AACGAACGCUGGCGGCAUGCCUAACACAUGCCAGUCGAACGAGACUUUCGGGUCUAGUGGCGCACGGGUGCGUAACGCGUGGGAACCUGCCCUUAGGUUCGGAAUAACUCCCCGAAAGGGGUGCUAAUACCGGAUAAUGUCUUCGGACCAAAGAUUUAUCGCCUUUGGAUGGGCCCGCGUUGGAUUAGCUAGUUGGUAGGGUAAAAGCCUACCAAGGCGACGAUCCAUAGCUGGUCUGAGAGGAUGAUCAGCCACACUGGGACUGAGACACGGCCCAGACUCCUACGGGAGGCAGCAGUGGGGAAUGUUGGACAAUGGGCGAAAGCCUGAUCCAGCAAUGACGCGUGAGUGAUGAAGGCCUUAGGGUUGUAAAGCUCUUUUACCCGGGAUGAUAAUGACAGUACCGGGAGAAUAAGCUCCGGAUAACUACGUG